AUUUGCUGUCCUACUUUGUUUUGAAGACAGCCCUCUUUACUGUUGGAUGCUCUAGUACGGCAGGAAUGCUUCUUAUGUAUGUGCGACUGCAAGGACUUAAGUUCAAAGCAAAAUAACAAGCUAUGAGCCUUGCAUUAAAACUGGAUGGUGACAAUGAUAGCCUGAGGGAGGCAGAUGACGGGCCCUUGACCAGGCUUCAGAAAUCUCUCCAAUCUACCAUGCGUUCCCAGGGCAAUCAGCAAAAGCAGUGAGAUUGUUCCAGUAGAACCAAAAUGCUGGAAUGAUGUUCUUCACAUAUAACCUACUGGAAAACAUUAGGCGGGGGUGGGUGUUCCCUGCUCUGUUCAUUAUUGCAUCUGAUGUUAUG
rnacentral:lncRNA from 1 species